rnacentral:lncRNA from 1 species
AGACCUGCACACCCACCCCAGGGAGCCCCCCUCCCUCCACCUCUGUGCCCCGCAGUGACCCUCGGACCUCUGUGUGUGUUGCAGAUUCGUCAGCCUCCGGAAGGGCCAAACCUCGGAUUAUUUUGAACAACUGGCAAUUCCAGGAGGGAUGGAAUUAACCAUAUGAAGAUCUAGAAGGACUGGAGCCUCCAGAAAAAGAUUGGACAUUACCUGCAAGUGCUCCUAGUCAGGAAUGUUCCAGUCUUUGUGGCUUUUCCGAAAUUUGACAUUAGAAAAUCACUAUUGUUCUCAUUGGAUGUUCACAUGAAAGUUAAGCCUCUGGUUUUCUUUGGACUCCAUUUUUUCCAGGCAAAUGAAAACCACAGUUUAAACUCUAAGUUUCAAUCAGAAACUAACAGCUCCUGGAUUUCCCGUGGCUCACACUCUUCUGAAACAACUCACAAAGAGCCUGAGGAAGCAGUUCUCCCUUAUAAGUGGGCCAGUUUAUUUGUCUCCCUGGGACUAGUAAGUACUGAAACGGUUCUUUUGUUCUUAAAUUCUAAGUUUGACUUUAUCUUUAAAUAAUUAUUUCUUUGGUAUGAUUUAGU